rnacentral:rRNA from 1 species
GGGGAAUUUUGGACAAUGGGGGAAACCCUGAUCCAGCAAUGCCGCGUGUGCGAAGAAGGCCUUCGGGUUGUAAAGCACUUUUGUCAGGGAAGAAAUCCUUUGGGCUAAUACCCUAGGGGGAUGACGGUACCUGAAGAAUAAGCACCGGCUAACUACGUGCCAGCAGCCGCGGUAAUACGUAGGGUGCAAGCGUUAAUCGGGAUUACUGGGCGUAAAGCGUGCGCAGGCGGUUGUGUAAGACAGGUGUGAAAUCCCUGGGCUUAACCUGGGAAUUGCAUUUGUGACUGCACGACUAGAGUGUGUCAGAGGGGGGUGGAAUUCCACGUGUAGCAGUGAAAUGCGUAGAUAUGUGGAGGAACACCAAUGGCGAAGGCAGCCCCCUGGGAUAACACUGACGCUCAUGCACGAAAGCGUGGGGAGCAAAC